rnacentral:rRNA from 1 species
AGCGACGCUGCGUGAAGGAUGACGGCCUGCGGGUUGUAAACUUCUUUUCUCGAAGAAGAAGCUCUGACGGUAUUCGAGGAAUAAGCAUCGGCUAACUCCGUGCCAGCAGCCGCGGUAAU